GAGUUUGAUCCUGGCUCAGGAUGAACGCUGGCGGCGUGCCUAAUACAUGCAAGUCGAGCGAACAGAUAAGGAGCUUGCUCCUUUGAAGUUAGCGGCGGACGGGUGAGUAACACGUGGGUAACCUACCUAUAAGACUGGGGAUAACUUCGGGAAACCGGAGCUAAUACCGGAUAACAUUUAGAACCGCAUGGUUCUAAAGUGAAAGAUGGUUUUGCUAUCACUUAUAGAUGGACCCGCGCCGUAUUAGCUAGUUGGUAAGGUAACGGCUUACCAAGGCGACGAUACGUAGCCGACCUGAGAGGGUGAUCGGCCACACUGGGACUGAGACACGGCCCAGACUCCUACGGGAGGCAGCAGUGGGGGAUAUUGCACAAUGGGGGGAACCCUGAUGCAGCGACGCCGCGUGGGUGAAGGAGCGUUUCGGCGCGUAAAGCCCUAUCGGCAGGGAAGAAGAUGACGGUACCUGACCAAGAAGCCCCGGCUAACUACGUGCCAGCCGCCGCAGUAAC
rnacentral:rRNA from 1 species